GGGGCUGAUUUGGUUUUGACAUCAAGUAAAUAUAAUAAGAUAGCAUAUCGUGAAAUGUAAUGUAAUCACGUAAAAAAUUCCUUACAAAAAACUAAAUGGCAAAAAUUACUCUCUUAAGCUUGCAGCUUAAAAAUUUUGUUCUAAUUUAAUUUUGUUCUAAUUUAAUUUUGUUCUAAUUUUGUUGUGUCUAAUUUUAGGGCUUAUAACUAAAAUUAGAACUUACUACUUUAUAAGCUAAAUAUGUAGAACUCUUAUUAUAUUACUUGUUUGGACACGGGUUCGAUUCCCGUCAGCUCCA
rnacentral:tmRNA from 1 species